rnacentral:rRNA from 1 species
UGCAAGUCGAGCGGUAAGGCUUUCGGGGGUACACGAGCGGCGAACGGGUGAGUAAUCGUUUUGAUCUGCCCUGCACUUCGGGAUAAGCCUGGGAAACUGGGUCUAAUACCGGAUAUGACCUCCUAUCGCAUGGUGGGUGGUGGAAAGAUUUAUCGGUGCAGGAUGGGCCCGCGGCCUAUCAGCUUGUUGGUGGGGUAAUGGCCUACCAAGGCGACGACGGGUAGCCGACCUGAGAGGGUGACCGGCCACACUGGGACUGAGACACGGCCCAGACUCCUACGGGAGGCAGCAGUGGGGAAUAUUGCACAAUGGGCGAAAGCCUGAUGCAGCGACGCCGCGUGAGGGAUGACGGCCUUCGGGUUGUAAACCUCUUUCAGCAGGGACGAAGCGCAAGUGACGGUACCUGCAGAAGAAGCACCGGCUAACUACGUGCCAGCAGCCGCG